GACGAACGCUGGCGGCGUGCCUAAUACAUGCAAGUAGAACGCUGAAGGAGGAGCUUGCUUCUCUGGAUGAGUUGCGAACGGGUGAGUAACGCGUAGGUAACCUGCCUGGUAGCGGGGGAUAACUAUUGGAAACGAUAGCUAAUACCGCAUAAGAGUAGAUGUUGCAUGACAUUUGCUUAAAAGGUGCAAUUGCAUCACUACCAGAUGGACCUGCGUUGUAUUAGCUAGUUGGUGGGGUAACGGCUUACCAAGGCGACGAUACAUAGCUGACCUGAGAGGGUGAUCGGCCACACUGGGACUGAGACACGGCCCAGACUCCUACGGGAGGCAGCAGUAGGGAAUCUUCGGCAAUGGACGGAAGUCUGACCGAGCAACGCCGCGUGAGUGAAGAAGGUUUUCGGAUCGUAAAGCUCUGUUGUAAGAGAAGAACGAGUGUGAGAGUGGAAAGUUCACACUGUGACGGUAUCUUACCAGAAAGGGACGGCUAACUACGUG
rnacentral:rRNA from 1 species